CGUCCCUACGGGAGGCAGCAGUAGGGAAUUUUCGUCAAUGGGCGCAAGCCUGAACGAGCAAUGCCGCGUGAACGAGGAAGGUCUUCGGAUCGUAAAGUUCUGUUGAAGGGGAAAAAGAGCGGAGAGAGGAAAUGGUCUCCGAUUGAUAUUACCCUUCGAGGAAGUCACGGCUAACUACGUGCCAGCAGCCGCGGUAAUACGUAGGUGGCGAGCGUUAUCCGGAAUGAUUGGGCGUAAAGGGUGCGUAGGCGGACUGCUAAGUCUGGAGUGAAAGGUACAGGCUCAAACGGUACAGGCUAUGGCAA
rnacentral:rRNA from 1 species